rnacentral:rRNA from 1 species
AUCGACCGCCUGGGGAGUACGGCCGCAAGGUUAAAACUCAAAUGAAUUGACGGGGGCCCGCACAAGCGGUGGAGCAUGUGGUUUAAUUCGAUGCAACGCGAAGAACCUUACCUACUCUUGACAUCCAGCGAAUCCUUUAGAGAUAGAGGAGUGCCUUCGGGAACGCUGAGACAGGUGCUGCAUGGCUGUCGUCAGCUCGUGUUGUGAAAUGUUGGGUUAAGUCCCGCAACGAGCGCAACCCUUAUCCUUUGUUGCCAGCACGUAAUGGUGGGAACUCAAAGGAGACUGCCGGUGAUAAACCGGAGGAAGGUGGGGAUGACGUCAAGUCAUCAUGGCCCUUACGAGUAGGGCUACACACGUGCUACAAUGGCAGAUACAAAGAGAAGCGACCUCGCGAGAGCAAGCGGAACUCAUAAAGUCUGUCGUAGUCCGGAUUGGAGUCUGCAACUCGACUCCAUGAAGUCGGAAUCGCUAGUAAUCGUAGAUCAGAAUGCUACGGUGAAUACGUUCCCGGGCCUUGUACACACCGCCCGUCACACCAUGGGAGUGGGUUGCAAAAGAAGUAGGUAGCUUAACCUUCGGGAGGGCGCUUACCACUUUGUGAUUCAUGACUGGGGUGAAGUCGUAACAAGGUAACCGUAGGGGAACCUGCGGUUGGAUCACCUCCUUA